rnacentral:rRNA from 1 species
AGNAACGGCUCAUGAAAUUCAAUAGCCGCACAUAUUAUUGUGCUAAGGUAGCAUAAUCAUUUGUCUUUUAAUUAAAGACUAGAACGAAAGAUAUUACAUUUAAAUUUCUUUUUUAAAUAUAUACGUUAAAAUUAUUCUAAAUAUAAUAAAAUAUUUAUAUAAAAAAUAGACGAUAAGACCCUAUUAAACUUCACUAAAGUUUAACUGGGGUAGUUAAUUAAAUAUUAUUUUAAUAAUAUUAAUUAAAUUAUUAACCCAAUAAAAUUGAAAUAAAUAAGUUACUAUAGGGAUAACAGCGCAAUAAAAUUCUAAAGACCUUAUUUAAAAUUUUGAUUACGACCUCGAUGUUGAAUUAAUAACCUUUAUUAUGCAAUUUUUUUAUAAAGGAAGUCUGUUCGACUUUUAAACAAUUACAUGAUCUGAGUCAAAACCGGGAGANGNNCNNNNNNNNCC